AUUGAACGCUGGCGGCAGGCCUAACACAUGCAAGUCGAGCGGGUGGGCAGACGGGGGAGUAUUGCCUAGGAAUCUGCCUGGUAGCGGUGGAUAACGUCCGGAAACGGGCACUGAUACCGCAUCCUAUCAGAUGAGCCUCGGUCGGAUUAGAUAGUUGGUGGGGUAAAGGCCUACAAAGGCGAAGAGCAGUAACUGGUCUGAGAGUAUGAUCAGGCACACUGGAACUGAGACACGUCCCAGACUCCUACGGGAGGUAGCAGUGGUGAAUAUUGGACAAUGGGCGAAAGCCUUAUCCAGCCAUGCCGCGUGUGUGAAGAAGGUCUUCGGGUUGUAAAGCACUUUAAGUUGGGAGGCGUUACCAGCAGAAGAAGCACCGGCUAACUACGUGCCAGCAGCCGCGGUAAUUC
rnacentral:rRNA from 1 species